CAGUAGGGAGGAAGGUAGUGUAGUUAACACCUGCAUUAUUUGACGUUACCUACAGAAGAAGCACCGGCUAACUCCGUGCCAGCAGCCGCGGUAAUACGGAGGGUGCGAGCGUUAAUCGGAAUUACUGGGCGUAAAGCGCAUGCAGGCGGCCUGUUAAGUCAGAUGUGAAAGACCCGGGGCGUUAACCUCGGAAUUGCAUUUGUAAACUGGCAGGCUAGAGUCUUGUAGAGGGGGGUAGGAAUUUCAGGUGUAGCGGUGAAAUGCGUAGAGAUCUGAAGGAAUACCAGUGGCGAAGGCGGCCCCCUGGACAAAGACUGACGCUCAGAUGCGAAAGCGUGGGGAGCAAACAGGAUUAGAUACCCUGGUAG
rnacentral:rRNA from 1 species